rnacentral:lncRNA from 1 species
CAAGGUGUUGGCCUCUUUAGAGAGAAAAUGGAGAGACAAUUCUCACCAAUUUUCCCCAAAAAUAAACCCUUUUUAAUCCUUAAUGAAUAUUUGGCUAUAAAGUCAUUUAUAUAGUCACUUCUUUAAGUGACCUAAACAACCAAAACCCUAAUUCAUUCCAUAUGGCCGGCCAUUUAGGGAUUUUUGGGCUUUUGGGCUUUAAUGAAUCUUUAUUCAUUAAAUUGUCAUACAACU